CAGUAGCCGCGGUAAUACGAGGGGGGCAAGCGUUGUUCGGAAUUAUUGGGCGUAAAGGGUGCGUAGGCGGCUUGACAAGUCUUGUGUGAAAUCUAUGGGCUCAACCCCGGAACUGCCUUUGAUACUGGGAGUCUUGAGUUCGAGAGAGGUGAGUGGAAUUGCGAGUGUAGAGGUGAAAUUCGUAGAUAUUCGCAGGAACACCAGUGGCGAAGGCGGCUCACUGGCUCGAUACUGACGCUGAGGUGCGAAAGCGUGGGGAGCAAACAGGAUUAGAUACCCCGGUAGUCCCUGUCUCUUAUAC
rnacentral:rRNA from 1 species